AUUGAACGCUGGCGGCAGGCCUAACACAUGCAAGUCGAGCGGAUGAAGGGAGCUUGCUCCUGGAUUCAGCGGCGGACGGGUGAGUAAUGCCUAGGAAUCUGCCUGGUAGUGGGGGAUAACGUCCGGAAACGGGUGCUAAUACCGCAUACGUCCUGAGGGAGAAAGUGGGGGAUCUUCGGACCUCACGCUAUCAGAUGAGCCUAGGUCGGAUUAGCUAGUUGGUGGGGUAAAGGCCUACCAAGGCGACGAUCCGUAACUGGUCUGAGAGGAUGAUCAGUCACACUGGAACUGAGACACGGUCCAGACUCCUACGGGAGGCAGCAGUGGGGAAUAUUGGACAAUGGGCGAAAGCCUGAUCCAGCCAUGCCGCGUGUGUGAAGAAGGUCUUCGGAUUGUAAAGCACUUUAAGUUGGGAGGAAGGGCAGUAAGUUAAUACCUUGCUGUUUUGACGUUACCAACAGAAUAAGCACCGGCUAACUUCGCG
rnacentral:rRNA from 1 species